GGUCAGGAAUGGUGUAGUGGUUUGAUUGUUAGACUGCAACUCUAAAGACCAGGGUUCGAUUUCCUACUCAGCCA